rnacentral:rRNA from 1 species
GUUGUAUGGUUAAGUGACUAAGCGUACACGGUGGAUGCCUGGGCAGUCAGAGGCGAUGAAGGACGUACUAACUUGCGAUAAGCGCAGAUAAGGCAGUAAGAGCCGUUUGAGUCUGCGAUUUCCGAAUGGGGAAACCCAACUGCAUAAGCAGUUACUGUUAACUGAAUACAUAGGUUAACAGAGCAAACCGGGGGAACUGAAACAUCUAAGUACCCCGAGGAGAAGAAAUCAACCGAGAUUCCGGUAGUAGCGGCGAGCGAACCUGGAUUAGCCCUUAAGCACUCGGUGAAGUAGGUGAACAAGCUGGAAAGCUUGGCGAUACAGGGUGAUAGCCCCGUAACCGACGCUUCAUCGAGCGUGAAAUCGAGUAGGGCGGGACACGUGAUAUCCUGUCUGAAUAUGGGGGGACCAUCCUCCAAGGCUAAAUACUCCUGACUGACCGAUAGUGAACCAGUACCGUGAGGGAAAGGCGAAAAGAACCCCUGUGAGGGGAGUGAAAUAGAACCUGAAACCGUGUACGUACAAGCAGUAGGAGCACCUUCGUGGUGUGACUGCGUACCUUUUGUAUAAUGGGUCAGCGACUUAUAUUCAGUGGCAAGGUUAACCGUAUAGGGGAGCCGUAGCGAAAGCGAGUCUUAACUGGGCGCUCAGUCUCUGGAUAUAGACCCGAAACCGGGUGAUCUAGCCAUGGGCAGGUUGAAGGUUGAGUAACAUCAACUGGAGGACCGAACCGACUAAUGUUGAAAAAUUAGCGGAUGACUUGUGGCUAGGGGUGAAAGGCCAAUCAAACUCGGAGAUAGCUGGUUCUCCCCGAAAGCUAUUUAGGUAGCGCCUCGGACGAAUACUACUGGGGGUAGAGCACUGUUAAGGCUAGGGGGUCAUCCCGACUUACCAACCCUUUGCAAACUCCGAAUACCAGUAAGUACUAUCCGGGAGACACACGGCGGGUGCUAACGUCCGUCGUGGAGAGGGAAACAACCCAGACCGCCAGCUAAGGUCCCAAAGUAUUGCUAAGUGGGAAACGAUGUGGGAAGGCUCAGACAGCUAGGAUGUUGGCUUAGAAGCAGCCAUCAUUUAAAGAAAGCGUAAUAGCUCACUAGUCGAGUCGGCCUGCGCGGAAGAUGUAACGGGGCUAAGCAAUACACCGAAGCUGCGGCAAUGUCUUUUAGACAUUGGGUAGGGGAGCGUUCUGUAAGCCGUUGAAGGUGGAUCGUAAGGUUUGCUGGAGGUAUCAGAAGUGCGAAUGCUGACAUGAGUAACGACAAAGGGGGUGAAAAACCUCCUCGCCGGAAGACCAAGGGUUCCUGUCCAACGUUAAUCGGGGCAGGGUGAGUCGACCCCUAAGGUGAGGCCGAAAGGCGUAAUCGAUGGGAAACGGGUUAAUAUUCCCGUACUUCUGACUAUUGCGAUGGGGGGACGGAGAAGGCUAGGUGGGCCAGGCGACGGUUGUCCUGGUUCAAGUGCGUAGGCUUGAGAGUUAGGUAAAUCCGGCUCUCUCUAAGGCUGAGACACGACGUCGAGCUGCUACGGCAGUGAAGUCAUUGAUGCCAUGCUUCCAGGAAAAGCCUCUAAGCUUCAGAUAGUCAGGAAUCGUACCCCAAACCGACACAGGUGGUCGGGUAGAGAAUACCAAGGCGCUUGAGAGAACUCGGGUGAAGGAACUAGGCAAAAUGGUACCGUAACUUCGGGAGAAGGUACGCUCUUGAUGGUGAAGUCCCUUGCGGAUGGAGCUGACGAGAGUCGCAGAUACCAGGUGGCUGCAACUGUUUAUUAAAAACACAGCACUGUGCAAAAUCGCAAGAUGACGUAUACGGUGUGACGCCUGCCCGGUGCCGGAAGGUUAAUUGAUGGGGUUAGCGCAAGCGAAGCUCUUGAUCGAAGCCCCGGUAAACGGCGGCCGUAACUAUAACGGUCCUAAGGUAGCGAAAUUCCUUGUCGGGUAAGUUCCGACCUGCACGAAUGGCGUAAUGAUGGCCACGCUGUCUCCACCCGAGACUCAGUGAAAUUGAAAUCGCUGUGAAGAUGCAGUGUACCCGCGGCUAGACGGAAAGACCCCGUGAACCUUUACUACAGCUUGGCACUGAACAUUGAACCUACAUGUGUAGGAUAGGUGGGAGGCUAUGAAGACGUGACGCCAGUUGCGUUGGAGCCGUCCUUGAAAUACCACCCUUGUAUGUUUGAUGUUCUAACUUAG